rnacentral:rRNA from 1 species
GAGUUUGAUCCUGGCUCAGGAUGAACGCUAGCGGCAGGCCUAAUACAUGCAAGUCGAGGGGCAGCACGACUUUUCGGAGUUGGUGGCGACCGGCGCACGGGUGCGUAACGCGUAUGUAACCUACCCACCGCUGGGGGAUAGCCCGGAGAAAUCUGGAUUAAUACCCCAUAAUACAGGGAGCCCACAUGGGCAUAUUGUUAAAGCUUUCGAGCGGCAGUGGAUGGACAUGCGUCUGAUUAGUUUGUUGGUGAGGUAAUGGCUCACCAAGACUACGAUCAGUAGGGGUUCUGAGAGGAUGAUCCCCCACACUGGUACUGAGACACGGACCAGACUCCUACGGGAGGCAGCAGUAGGGAAUAUUGGUCAAUGGUCGAAAGACUGAACCAGCCAUGCCGCGUGCAGGAAGACGGCCUUCUGGGUUGUAAACUGCUUUUCUCAAGGAAGAAAAAUCCCGACGUGUCGGGAGACUGACGGUACUUGAGGAAUAAGCACCGGCUAACUCCGUGCCAGCAGCCGCGGUAAUACGGAGGGUGCAAGCGUUGUCCGGAUUUAUUGGGUUUAAAGGGUGCGUAGGCGGUACUAUAAGUCAGUGGUGAAAUACUGCAGCUCAACUGUAGAGGUGCCAUUGAAACUGUAAUACUUGAGUACAGACGAGGUAGGCGGAAUUUAUGGUGUAGCGGUGAAAUGCAUAGAUACCAUAAAGACACCGAUAGCGAAGGCAGCUUACUAGACUGUAACUGACGCUGAAGCACGAAAAGCGUGGGUAGCAAACAGGAU